ACAACAAUUAGACGGUCGGUCUAUCGAGCAAUGCUACCUGUUCGGUGAAAGAUCUUCCCUUCGUCGU
rnacentral:pre_miRNA from 1 species